rnacentral:rRNA from 1 species
UACGUAGGGUGCGAGCGUUAAUCGGAAUUACUGGGCGUAAAGCGUGCGCAGGCGGUUUUGUAAGCCAGAUGUGAAAUCCCCGGGCUUAACCUGGGAAUGGCAUUUGGGACUGCAAGGCCUGAGUGCGGCAGAGGAGACUGGAAUUCCUGGUGUAGCAGUGAAAUGCGUAGAUAUCAGGAGGAACACCGAUGGCGAAGGCAGGUCUCUGGGCUGACACUGACGCUCAUGCACGAAAGCGUGGGGAGCAAACAGG